UACGUAGGGAGCAAGCGUUGUCCGGAAUCAUUGGGCGUAAAGCGCGCGUAGGUGGCCUCGUAAGUCCGCUGUGAAAGUCAAAGGCUCAACCUUUGAAAGCCGGUGGAUACUGUGAGGCUAGAGUACGGAAGAGGCGAGUGGAAUUCCUGGUGUAGCGGUGGAAUGCGCAGAUAUCAGGAGGAACACCGGUGGCGAAGGCGGAUCUCUGGGCCUUACCUGACGCUGAGGCGCGAAAGCUAGGGGAGCAAACAGG
rnacentral:rRNA from 1 species